UAAUGCCUGGAGGGGAGCUCCAAAAUGCGGGGCUGAGAGGAAGGAGUCAAUCCUUCGACCCUUCGAACCUGAUCCGGGUAAUACCGGCGGAGGGACCAGGUGACUCAAAAAU
rnacentral:ncRNA from 21 species